rnacentral:rRNA from 1 species
UACGGAGGGUGCGAGCGUUGUCCGGAAUCAUUGGGCGUAAAGGGCGCGUAGGCGGCUUCUCAAGCGUGCGGUGAAAGUCAGGGGCUCAACCCCUGAUCGGCCGUGCGAACUGGGGGCUGGAGCACUGUAGAGGCAGGCGGAAUUCCGGGUGUAGCGGUGGAAUGCGUAGAGAUCCGGAAGAACACCGGUGGCGAAGGCGGCCUGCUGGGCAGUGGCUGACUCUGAGGCGCGACAGCGUGGGGAGCAAACAGG